CGGAUGGUCUUGUUUGUUUUGUCCAUGGUGUUUUCCAGGUGCUACCAGUUGCGUAGCCUUAGCCUUCCGCUCUUUCUCUGUGCUGCCUGGAUUAUUGGACUUUAUAUUUCUGGAAUUCAUCAUUAAAAUCUUCAUUUCAACCUGGGUCCUCAACAUCUGCCUCACCACCUCAUCCAACCGCACUUCAUGACAACAUGUGGGGUUGACUACGCCUAAAGUCCAGGUCUGAAUCAUGGACUGAGAUCAUCCAUCCAUCCAUCCAUCCAUCCUCCUCUCCAGGAUAGCACAAUCUUCUGCUGCAGGUCAGAGGAGCUCAAGCUGACACCCAAUCCAGCUACUUAUUUAGCUUUUAUAUCCUGAAUUGAAGCCAACUGAGCGAGAACCUAGAGAACUGGAAAAAAAGUAUGAGAGCCAAGAAGAUGCAAAGGAAAAGGAAAGUGGGGAAAAUAAAACUUGCUAUCUGUCCCCACGUUUAUUUUGUGCUUACUAAAGUUCUUCUUCCUCCAUGUUCUCCCCCUUCUUGGUGGGGUGAGGAGGAGCUGAGUUAUUAAAACGCCAACCUUUCCAACAAGAGGCAAUAAAUCAAACCAAAUAUCCAAGGGAGGGAGCGAAAAGGAA